AUGGUAUUUGCUACUUUCUACAGGUAAAUGCUAACAUGUGGGGAGAAGGGUUUGUGGUGCUGAAGACAUCAAGACGUGGAGGCCGCCCACAGGAGGUGAAUGCAGUCCGGAGGCAUGGUGGAGCUCAGGUUUUCCUAGUGCAUGUAGGGCUUUGUUUGCUCUGUUCCAACUUGACAGCUAACGUAAACAGCUGAUCUUCCCUGCAAUGUGAAGUACAUCUUUGUUCAUCCAAAGGAGCGAGAGAGAGAGAGAGGGGGAGACAGAGAAUAUAUAUUUAAGCGUCUGUGUAGACCUAUGUGCAUCUGGAGCUGAUAUGGUAGUGAGAGAGAGCAUAACACAGACUACCACAGGUACUAAGAUGAGGAAUACAUUUGGUGUGUGGAAGACUGUCAGCAUCAGGUGACGGUGAGUAGCAUAAUACCCACAGUCAGAAAGACAUGUCUGUUAUCAUCAUGUCUAAAUACAGCAUGAAGACAAUUGUCCAGAUAGUAUAGAUUCCAGUUUGCUGUAUGACCACUGGUGACUAUAGAGUACAUCCAAUGAUGAACAGACUGUAGUCACUCCUCAUUUAUAUGCAUGAUAUAUGGUUGCAUUAAUGGGAUCACACACAUUUCAACUUUCUACUGUCCAAGAGUAAGCUAUGAGCUACUAAUACAUG